rnacentral:rRNA from 1 species
UACGUAGGAGGCGAGCGUUGUCCGGAAUCCCUGGGUGUAAAGCGCGUGUAGGCGGCCUGCCAAGUCUGCUGUGAAAGCGCCUGGCUUAACCGGGCGAGGUCGGUGGAAACUGGCGGGCUGGAGGACGGUAGAGGGGGGUGGAAUUCCCGGUGUAGUGGUGAAAUGCGUAGAGAUCGGGAGGAACACCAGUGGCGAAGGCGGCCCCCUGGGCCGUUCCUGACGCUGAGACGCGAAGGCGCGGGGAGCGAACGGG